rnacentral:tRNA from 1 species
GCGCCCGUAGCUCAGUUGGAUAGAGCGUCUGCCUCCGGAGCAGAAGGCCGCAGGUUCGAAUCCUGCCGGGCGCGCCA